UCAAGUUAAUUGCUAUCAGCUUGGUGUGUCAUUGGGUGGUUGGAGGUCCCUUGUUGCAUGCCAUGUUGUCAUAGACUAGUUUACAAGAAAUGAAAUGUGUUUACCGAUCAUGUAUAUUGUAGGGAUCUUUACCUGAGCACAGUUCUUCAUUCCUGGAACACAUGAGUAGAGGCAUGAGAGAAAAGCAAGAAGAAUUCAGGGUAAUACGGGAACUGAAAACCAUGGAGCUCUGUUAAACUGGCAUGCAACAAUUAGACCUUCAGACAGCCAAGAGGAAAAAUAGUUUUAUCCUGUUUUUUGGAUGAGCUAACUAUAUUUUUAAAGGUCCCAUACCUGCCUGUUUAAAGAGUAACACCUGUGACCACAACCCGUAGUGAUGUCACAUUGCACAGACACACCUUUGAGUACACUUCUACAUCACUGCAGCAAAGUGAGAGGUUAAACCACUGGAGAUUUAAACUCAGUUGCUGCCGGUGUUUUUCCUGCUCUUUAAACCCUCAUCCAUUCCCCUCCAUGCAGCCUCCUCUGCCCUGACCUCGGCCUCCCCGCCUCCCGCUGUGGUAUCCCAGAGGCCCCCGGGGCACCAGGCUCCUUCUUCCCCUCCAGCCCCACCUCCACAGGAAAGCCCCCAGACUGCCGCCAAAUACCUCCACAGAUUCUUCCUGUGGCUCAGAUGCGGCGGGAGGCCCCUCGCGGCUUCGCCUCACUUCCACCACAGGGCCUCGGAAAUACCUGAGAUCCCUGAGUGUGGUCGCCGUUUAUCUGCACCGCUUUGACCAAUAUUCACUGCCAAGAGGUUCAAACCACAGAUGUUCACACUCAGAUUCAAAUCUGAUUUUUUUAGAUAUCUGUUCUAGGAUGUAACCUGCACACAAAACCACUUUCGGACCCCGUGAAGAUUAACAAUCACACUAGUGUGUUUGCUUAUAGGGAUCCUAAAUACACAAACAAAUGAACUAAUGGUGAAAAGACACAUGAAGGGAUUAUAACUGUAGCAAAAGGUGCUACGUCCAUAUUUAUAAUUACUCUGAUAGCUGAAAUGGAAGGGUUGCUAUGCUUCCGUUAAUUAAUUAAACAAAAUAAAUUGUUUCUACUAAGAGA